rnacentral:rRNA from 1 species
CCGAUGGAGGGGGAUAACUACUGGAAACGGUAGCUAAUACCGCAUAACGUCGCAAGACCAAAGAGGGGGACCUUGGGCCUCUUGCCAUCGGAUGUGCCCAGAUGGGAUUAGCUAGUAGGUGGGGUAACGGCUCACCUAGGCGACGAUCCCUAGCUGGUCUGAGAGGAUGACCAGCCACACUGGAACUGAGACACGGUCCAG